AGCGAACGCUGGCGGUAGGCCUAACACAUGCAAGUCGAACGGCAGCACAGGAGAGCUUGCUCUCUGGGUGGCGAGUGGCGGACGGGUGAGGAAUACAUCGGAAUCUACCUUUUCGUGGGGGAUAACGUAGGGAAGCUUACGCUAAUACCGCAUACGACCUACGGGUGAAAGUGGGGGACCGCAAGGCCUCACGCGAUUAGAUGAGCCGAUGUCCGAUUAGCUAGUUGGCGGGGUAAUGGCCCACCAAGGCGACGAUCGGUAGCUGGUCUGAGAGGAUGAUCAGCCACACUGGAACUGAGACACGGUCCAGACUCCUACGGGAGGCAGCAGUGGGGAAUAUUGGACAAUGGGCGCAAGCCUGAUCCAGCCAUACCGCGUGGGUGAAGAAGGCCUUCGGGUUGUAAAGCCCUUUUGUUGGGAAAGAAAUCCUGUCGAUUAAUACUCGGUGGGGAUGACGGUACCCAAAGAAUAAGCACCGGCUAACUUCGUGCCAGCCGCCGCGGUAACAC
rnacentral:rRNA from 1 species